CCUACGGGAGGCAGCAGUGAGGAAUAUUGGUCAAUGGGCGCGAGCCUGAACCAGCCAAGUCGCGUGAAGGAUGACUGCUCUACGGUUUGUAAACUUCUUUUAUAAAGGAAUAAAGUGCGGCACGCGUGCCUCUUUGUAUGUAUUUUAUGAAUAAGGAUCGGCUAACUCCGUGCCAGCAGCCGCGGUAAUACGGAGGAUCCGAGCGUUAUCCGGAUUUAUUGGGUUUAAAGGGUGCGUAGAUGGGUUGUUAAGUCAGUUGUGAAAGUUUGCGGCUCAACCGUAAAAUUGCAAUUGAUACUGGGGGGCUUGAGUACAGUUGAGGUAGGCGGAAUUCGUGGUGUAGCGGUGAAAUGCUUAGAUAUCACGAAGAACUCCGAUUGCGAAGGCAGCCUACUAAGCUGCCACUGACAUUGAUGCUCGAAAGUGUGGGUAUCAAACAGGAUUAGAUACCCGUGUAGUC
rnacentral:rRNA from 1 species